rnacentral:lncRNA from 14 species
GAAGAAUUGGGACUGGGUAACUCUUGUGCCCUUCUUUAAAGUGACUAUUAAAGGCUCAAGAGUGGUAGAACACCAGCAUGUGACACAUUGGAUAUACUGCAGUUCAGAUCUGGGACAUUAUUCUGUGAUGCUUGAAAGCCUAAGUUGUCAGAAGCAGUCAAGAAACCGAAACUGAGGCUAUAGAUCCCUCAUCUUGUGAACCUUCAGGAGGAAACGAGUGAUGUGGGGUCUGAAGGAAACCUAAUUCAGUGCUAUGCACUGUUCUGUGGCUGCCUGUUGUUGAUACAGAACUGAAGAUGCAGCACAUGUGCUCAGAGAGAUGGAACAACUGCCAUGCUACAUACUGCAGCUGUCCAGACUGAUGUCGCCCUUGAUUGUCUCGUCUGCAUGUUGCUUCAAGUCACCAGAGUUUCUCAGUCCUGCUUUGGUUGAGUUCCCACUGCCUCCCAUCACAGAACAGCCUCUGCUGGAAGGAUGCAGCUGAAACACAAAGCGCAGACUGAGGAAUGCCAAGUGUGUACCUGGCUGAGAGCACACAGGAACAGCAGUGCUGGCAGUGAAGGGAAACCCACAUCUCCCAAGUGCCACCAGCAGCUCCUCCAAAGAUUGCUCUGGUUGCUGUGUGAAGUGGAGGCCGUGCUGGGGACAGGGCUUGCUGCAGCUGAUGGAGUGUUCUGGAGAUUCAUCUGCCUUUGAAGGCUCUGUACUAAAUGCUGUUACAAUACACACGGAGCUAAACUGAGCAAAUGGUGAUUGAGCAACAAUGGAGGAAUAUAUUUG